AAGCGCUUGUGACCAGACUUGGGCCCGGUGGAUCAUCCAGCGUUCUCGCUGGUGCACUCCGCCGGGUUCAGGCCAGCAUCAGUUCGCCGCGGGGGAAAAAGGCUUCGGGAACGUGGCUCCUACGGGAGUGUUAUAGCCCGUUGCAUAAUACCCUGGGGCGGACUGAGGUUCGCGCUCCGCAAGGAUGCUGGCGUAAUGGUCAUCAGCGA
rnacentral:rRNA from 1 species